UUUUAAAAUGAUUAUAUUUAAACUACAGAUAAUUCUGAAACCAAACACGUAGUGUGUUUCAAGAUUACAAAAGUUCAGUCAUAUCGCAAGCCUAUUAUCGAUGAGCUUUUACCUAAAACACUUCAAAUGAAAAUCUGGGAACGACUGGAAUAACAAUUUCAAAAAUUAAACUGCCACCUUCAUCGACGAUUUUGGAAUCUUAUACAUGUGUUAGGGGCAAUGGAGGAAAUUUACAAAGCAUAAGACGAUACGUUGGGAGAAGCUUUCUUUACCAACGACCGCGCAAUGCAUCGAUCGCUGUUCGAAGGUGCAGAAUUGCCGACAGUCGACGAAAAGAAGGUGGGUAAUAAUCGCGACGACAGUCAAGAGACCAAAUAUCGUUGACCAACAAUAGUCACAUGUGAAGUUGAAGAAUUCUUUACUGUGCAGCAUUUCUGCGUCAGAGAUCCGGAGAAGAUUGGGAUUAUAAGAUAAUAACGACGAAACAUGAAAUCAUAAAUUGUAGUUGCAGGAGUAAUUUUAUACAUUGGCGCAUUAACGACGAGACACGAGCAAGAUUUUCUGAAAAAAGCGGAUCAAACGAUUUGAGAAAUACGCGACGAAAUGAUUUGGUUACAGAUCCAUCAGAAUUUCGAAUGAAUCGUAUAGCAGUUCAAGUAUACUUUUAACGAUUCUGAUACCUCAGGUAUUGGAUUUUCGAUGAUUGAAUUGACUCGUGUUACGGACUCGAAGUCACUG
rnacentral:lncRNA from 1 species